GAGGUGCUAGUUCAGUGGUUAAGACAUUGGACUCCUGAUCAGACAGCUGAGAGUUCAAAUCCCAGCGCUGCC